rnacentral:rRNA from 1 species
GGAUGAACGCUGGCGGCGUGCUUAACACAUGCAAGUCGAACGGUGAAGCAGGAGCUUGCUCUUGUGGAUCAGUGGCGAACGGGUGAGUAACACGUGAGCAACCUGCCCCUGACUCUGGGAUAAGCGCUGGAAACGGCGUCUAAUACUGGAUAUGUGACGUGACCGCAUGGUCUGCGUUUGGAAAGAUUUUUCGGUUGGGGAUGGGCUCGCGGCCUAUCAGCUUGUUGGUGAGGUAAUGGCUCACCAAGGCGUCGACGGGUAGCCGGCCUGAGAGGGUGACCGGCCACACUGGGACUGAGACACGGCCCAGACUCCUACGGGAGGCAGCAGUGGGGAAUAUUGCACAAUGGGCGAAAGCCUGAUGCAGCAACGCCGCGUGAGGGAUGACGGCCUUCGGGUUGUAAACCUCUUUUAGCAGGGAAGAAGCGAAAGUGACGGUACCUGCAGAAAAAGCGCCGGCUAACUACGU